ACGGGAGGCAGCAGUGGGGAAUAUUGGACAAUGGGGGGAACCCUGAUCCAGCGACGCCGCGUGAGUGAAGAAGUAUUUCGGUAUGUAAAGCUCUAUCAGCAGGGAAGAUGAUGACGGUACCUGACUAAGAAGCACCGGCUAAAUACGUGCCAGCAGCCGCGGUAAUACGUAUGGUGCAAGCGUUAUCCGGAUUUACUGGGUGUAAAGGGAGCGUAGGCGGCUAUGCAAGUCAGGUGUGAAAACCCGGGGCUCAACUCCGGGACUGCACUUGAAACUGCGAAGCUCGAGUACGGGAGAGGCAAGUGGAAUUCCUAGUGUAGCGGUGAAAUGCGUAGAUAUUAGGAAGAACACCAGUGGCGAAGGCGACUUGCUGGACCGCAACUGACGCUGAGGCUCGAAAGCGUGGGGAGCAAACAGGAUUAGAUACCCUGGUA
rnacentral:rRNA from 2 species